UACGUAGGUGGCAAGCGUUGUCCGGAUUUACUGGGCGUAAAGAGCGCGCAGGCGGUCGGAUAAGUCGAAUGUGAAAGCCCCUGGCUCAACCAGGGAGGGUCAUUCGAUACUGUUCGACUCGAAGGCAGGAGAGGGAAGUGGAAUUCCGGGUGUAGUGGUGAAAUGCGUAGAUAUCCGGAGGAACACCAGUGGCGAAGGCGGCUCUCUGGGUCGGCCCUGACGCUGAGGCGCGAAAGCGUGGGGAGCGAACGGG
rnacentral:rRNA from 1 species